GGGUUGUGAGGUUAAGCGACUAAGCGUACACGGUGGAUGCCCUGGCAGUCAGAGGCGAUGAAGGACGUGCUAAUCUGCGAUAAGCGUCGGUAAGGUGAUAUGAACCGUUAUAACCGGCGAUUUCCGAAUGGGGAAACCCAGUGUGAUUCGACACACUAUCAUUAACUGAAUCCAUAGGUUAAUGAGGCGAACCGGGGGAACUGAAACAUCUAAGUACCCCGAGGAAAAGAAAUCAACCGAGAUUCCCCCAGUAGCGGCGAGCGAACGGGGAGCAGCCCAGAGCCUGAAUCAGUGUGUGUGUUAGUGGAAGCGUCUGGAAAGGCGCGCGAUACAGGGUGACAGCCCCGUACACAAAAAUGCACAUGCUGUGAGCUCGAUGAGUAGGGCGGGACACGUGGUAUCCUGUCUGAAUAUGGGGGGACCAUCCUCCAAGGCUAAAUACUCCUGACUGACCGAUAGUGAACCAGUACCGUGAGGGAAAGGCGAAAAGAACCCCGGCGAGGGGAGUGAAAAAGAACCUGAAACCGUGUACGUACAAGCAGUGGGAGCCUCUUUAUGGGGUGACUGCGUACCUUUUGUAUAAUGGGUCAGCGACUUAUAUUCUGUAGCAAGGUUAACCGAAUAGGGGAGCCGAAGGGAAACCGAGUCUUAACUGGGCGUUAAGUUGCAGGGUAUAGACCCGAAACCCGGUGAUCUAGCCAUGGGCAGGUUGAAGGUUGGGUAACACUAACUGGAGGACCGAACCGACUAAUGUUGAAAAAUUAGCGGAUGACUUGUGGCUGGGGGUGAAAGGCCAAUCAAACCGGGAGAUAGCUGGUUCUCCCCGAAAGCUAUUUAGGUAGCGCCUCGUGAAUUCAUCUCCGGGGGUAGAGCACUGUUUCGGCAAGGGGGUCAUCCCGACUUACCAACCCGAUGCAAACUGCGAAUACCGGAGAAUGUUAUCACGGGAGACACACGGCGGGUGCUAACGUCCGUCGUGAAGAGGGAAACAACCCAGACCGCCAGCUAAGGUCCCAAAGUCAUGGUUAAGUGGGAAACGAUGUGGGAAGGCCCAGACAGCCAGGAUGUUGGCUUAGAAGCAGCCAUCAUUUAAAGAAAGCGUAAUAGCUCACUGGUCGAGUCGGCCUGCGCGGAAGAUGUAACGGGGCUAAACCAUGCACCGAAGCUGCGGCAGCGACGCUUAUGCGUUGUUGGGUAGGGGAGCGUUCUGUAAGCCUGUGAAGGUGGCCUGUGAGGGUUGCUGGAGGUAUCAGAAGUGCGAAUGCUGACAUAAGUAACGAUAAAGCGGGUGAAAAGCCCGCUCGCCGGAAGACCAAGGGUUCCUGUCCAACGUUAAUCGGGGCAGGGUGAGUCGACCCCUAAGGCGAGGCCGAAAGGCGUAGUCGAUGGGAAACAGGUUAAUAUUCCUGUACUUGGUGUUACUGCGAAGGGGGGACGGAGAAGGCUAUGUUGGCCGGGCGACGGUUGUCCCGGUUUAAGCGUGUAGGCUGGUUUUCCAGGCAAAUCCGGAAAAUCAAGGCCGAGGCGUGAUGACGAGGCACUACGGUGCUGAAGCAACAAAUGCCCUGCUUCCAGGAAAAGCCUCUAAGCAUCAGGUAACAUCAAAUCGUACCCCAAACCGACACAGGUGGUCAGGUAGAGAAUACCAAGGCGCUUGAGAGAACUCGGGUGAAGGAACUAGGCAAAAUGGUGCCGUAACUUCGGGAGAAGGCACGCUGAUAUGUAGGUGAAGCGACUUGCUCGUGGAGCUGAAAUCAGUCGAAGAUACCAGCUGGCUGCAACUGUUUAUUAAAAACACAGCACUGUGCAAACACGAAAGUGGACGUAUACGGUGUGACGCCUGCCCGGUGCCGGAAGGUUAAUUGAUGGGGUUAGCGGUAACGCGAAGCUCUUGAUCGAAGCCCCGGUAAACGGCGGCCGUAACUAUAACGGUCCUAAGGUAGCGAAAUUCCUUGUCGGGUAAGUUCCGACCUGCACGAAUGGCGUAAUGAUGGCCAGGCUGUCUCCACCCGAGACUCAGUGAAAUUGAACUCGCUGUGAAGAUGCAGUGUACCCGCGGCAAGACGGAAAGACCCCGUGAACCUUUACUAUAGCUUGACACUGAACAUUGAGCCUUGAUGUGUAGGAUAGGUGGGAGGCUUUGAAGUGUGGACGCCAGUCUGCAUGGAGCCGACCUUGAAAUACCACCCUUUAAUGUUUGAUGUUCUAACGUUGGCCCCUGAUCGGGGUUGCGGACAGUGUCUGGUGGGUAGUUUGACUGGGGCGGUCUCCUCCUAAAGAGUAACGGAGGAGCACGAAGGUUGGCUAAUCCUGGUCGGACAUCAGGAGGUUAGUGCAAUGGCAUAAGCCAGCUUGACUGCGAGCGUGACGGCGCGAGCAGGUGCGAAAGCAGGUCAUAGUGAUCCGGUGGUUCUGAAUGGAAGGGCCAUCGCUCAACGGAUAAAAGGUACUCCGGGGAUAACAGGCUGAUACCGCCCAAGAGUUCAUAUCGACGGCGGUGUUUGGCACCUCGAUGUCGGCUCAUCACAUCCUGGGGCUGAAGUAGGUCCCAAGGGUAUGGCUGUUCGCCAUUUAAAGUGGUACGCGAGCUGGGUUUAGAACGUCGUGAGACAGUUCGGUCCCUAUCUGCCGUGGGCGCUGGAGAACUGAGGGGGGCUGCUCCUAGUACGAGAGGACCGGAGUGGACGCAUCACUGGUGUUCGGGUUGUCAUGCCAAUGGCACUGCCCGGUAGCUAAAUGCGGAAGAGAUAAGUGCUGAAAGCAUCUAAGCACGAAACUUGCCCCGAGAUGAGUUCUCCCUGACCCUUUAAGGGUCCUGAAGGAACGUUGAAGACGACGACGUUGAUAGGCCGGGUGUGUAAGCGCAGCGAUGCGUUGAGCUAACCGGUACUAAUGAACCGUGAGGCUUAACCUUACAACGCCGAAG
rnacentral:rRNA from 1 species